CCUCAUAAGACUUGUGUUCCGGACCGACCUUUCAUAGCUUUGUUGCCUUUCUUUGGACACACUCCAGGGCCUCAACAACUUUCUUGUCAUGAAGGGCCCAGAACUGAAUACAGCACAGAACAGGUGUUGUGUACAUCAGAGCUGAGUACAGGAAGAUGAUCACCUCCCCGCUCCUCUUGGCUGCGCUGUUUCUGAUACAGGCCAGGAUGCCCUUGGUCCGCAUGGCCAUCUGAGCAUACUGCUGGCUCACGUUCAGCCAGCUGUUGAUUAGAGCUCUCAGAAUCCUUCUCCAGCAUGCAGUUUUCCAGCCACUCAGUUUCAAGCCUGAACUACUGCACUUGGUUUUCAGGAACUUCAUACCACUGGCCUCAGCCCACCAAGCCAGCUUAUCCAGACCCCUCUGUAAAGCCUUUCUACCCCUAUGCAGAUCAACACUUCUUCCAGUUUGGUGUUAUCUGCAAAUCUACUGAUGGUGCCAUCUAUCCCAUCAUCCAGGUCAUCAGUGAAGAUACUGGUAACAUAAUAUUACAAGUGAGAACUCGUUUUGGAGAAUUCAUGUGCUAGUAUGCCGCGGAGCUAAAACAGUAAUGCGAUCGCAACACGAGCGGGAAGCAUGACAAGACUCAAUGAGCCAUCAAAUCUGGAGAGAAGCCUUUGAGGAUGCUUCCCUGGAAGAAGCUGUUUGAAAAUGCAGCAUUUGAAAAGCAUCUAACCAGCAAUUGCCACAGCAGAGGAAGUUUUUCCCCCAGAG